rnacentral:lncRNA from 1 species
ACCUUUAAUCUGACACCUCUCAAUGAUGGACGACAUGACGUUUGAUGAAAACAACAACACAUGCAGAUCCUGCAGAAUAAGUACAAUAAUGACACUUAAACAGCUCAUUUUCCUGCUCAUCUGCACAUAAAUCUGACAGGCAGACCGGUAAAAUGGAGGAAUCCAGCAUGUCAACGCGAUUCACCUCUGAGAUCAGUGAAGUGUUGUGGACUGUAAGCCUGUUGAACAGAAGCAGAGACGUGUGGACAGACACUGACUGUACUGAUGAUGAUCAUCUGCUGCUGCACAGGCUGUAAAGUAUAACCCCUGCUGGACACGGCUCCGGAAGCUCCAGGGGGAGACCGAACUGGUAUCCCCCCUUCUUCAGGCGCGCCUCACACUCACUCACCAUUCACACAUAUCGCAGAGUUCUGGCUGGGACCGAUACCAGCAACCCCUGAAGCCGUGGGGCAGCGCUCUUACCACAGAGCCACAGAUCUCCUGUCUGAACACCUGCUGGAACUGAUGUUUGGCUGCUGACCUGUGUGUGAGCUGAUUCAAUAAAACAAGAUACAAGUCAGAUGUGAACUCUUGUCUUUAUGAGUCUCUUCCUCAGAGAACUUGUGUUUAUUGACUCGCCCAUCAUGGGUUUCACACCAGCGUCCAUCAUCAGGAUGGUGAAUAUAAUGAGCUGAAGGUGGACAUUAGCCACAGUGAGGAUUGAACCCGGGUCUUCUUGAUUAAAGCCCAACACUUUAUGACAUGAGCCACCAAGUCUGAUGUUGGAGGGGUGAUCU